rnacentral:lncRNA from 1 species
AUUAUCUGUGUGAGAGAGAGUGGAGGGCAGGCCAAAUAAAGCCAUAGGUGCUGCUGGGAGAGGAGUGCGUGUUAGCAUGCUAUAAAUACUUGAUGCAUCUGGAGUUUCAGGGUUGGCUACUGUCUGGGUCUCAGCAGACCAGAUCACAGGCUCUAUGUUGAUCUAGUGAUUUAUAGAAUUAUUGAUUUAUUGGACUGGGACAGGGAUUGGACCAUCCUGGAGGUGACAGGCCAUCAUGCCUAGGAUAGACGUGGAUGUGAAGCUGGACUUUAAAGAUGUCCUGUUCAGACCCAAGAGAAGCAGCCUGAAGAGCAGGUCAGAGCAAACUCUCUUCACCGCCAUGCAGAAGCACUACACUGUGGAGCAGUGGAAGGCUUUUGCAGCCAAGUUUCCAGAAUGUUUGGAGCACAUAGCGGUCAGCUCAGGCAGCGGUCAAGCCGACCUGGAGAAGCUGUGCAGCGUCCUGAAGGCCGUCUCUGACAUCAGAUUCAUCUGUCUGGACGUGGCCAACGGCUACUCUGAACACUUUGUGGAGUUUGUCAAAACCGUCAGGGGGAGGUUUCCCCAACACACUAUCAUGGCUGGCAACGUGGUGACAGGAGAGAUGGUGGAGGAGCUGAUCCUGGCAGGAGCUGACAUCAUUAAAGUGGGUAUUGGGCCAGGUGGGUCUGUUACUCUGGUACACUGUUACUCUGUCUGUUACUCUGGUGCUCCGUCUGUUACUCUGUCGGUUACUCUGUCGGUUACUCUGCCUGUUACUCUCUGUUGCUCUGUUACCCUGUCUGUUGCUCUGUCUGUUACUCUAUGGUACCCUCUAUGUUACUCUGUUACUCUGUCUGUUACUCUGUUACUCUGUCUGUUACUCUCUGUUACUCUGUCAGCCACUCUGUCUGUUACUCUGUUACUGUCUGUUACUCUGGGACUUUGUCUGUUGCUCUCUGUUACCCGGUUAUUCUGUCAGUUGCUCUGUCUGUUACUUUGUCAGUUGCUCUGGGUGUUACUCUGCUACUUUGUUACUGUCUGUUACUCUAUUACUAUGUAUGUUACUCUCUGUUACUCUGUCAGUUACUCUGUCUGUUACUCUGUUACUCUGUCUGGUGCUCUAUUACUAUGUAUGUUACUCUCUGUUACUCUGUCAGUUACUCUGUCUGUUACUCUAUUACUAUGUAUGUUACUCUCUGUUACUCUGUCAGUUACUCUGUCUGUUACUCUGUUACUCUGUCGGUUACUCUCUUACUCUGUCUGGUACUCUGUUUGUUACUCUCUGUUACUCUGUCGGUUACUCUGUCGGUUACUCUCUUACUCUGCCUGUUACUCUGUUUGUUACUCUCUGUUACUCUGUCGGUUACUCUGUCGGUUACUCUCUUACUCUGUCUGUUACUCUGUUUGUUACUCUCUGUUACUCUGUCGGUUACUCUGUCGGUUACUCAGUUAUUCUGUCAGGUACUCUGUCUGUUACUCUGCUACUGUGUCUGUUACUCUGUUAAUCUGUCUGGUACUCUGUCUGUUACUCUGUUACUGUGUAUGUUACUCUGGUACUCCAUCGGUUACUCUCUGUUACUCUGUUGGUUACUCUGUCUGUUACUCUCUGCUACUCUGUUACACUGUUACUAUGUCUGGUACUCUAUCACUCCGUCUGUUACUCUCUGUUACUCUGCCGGUUACUCUGUCUGUUACUCUGUUACUCUGUCUGCUACUCUGGUACUCCGUCUGUUACUCUGUUACUCUGUCUGUUACUCUGGUACUCUGUUACUCUGUCUGUUACUCUGGUACUCCAUCGGUUACUCUGUCUGUUACUAUGUUACUCUGUUACUCUGUCUGUUGCUCCGGUACUCUGUUACUCUAUUACUCCGUCUGUUACUCUGUCGGUUAGUCUGUUACUCUGUCUGUUGCUCUGUUGGUUACUCUGUUACUCUGUUGGUUACUAUGUUACUCUGUAUGUUACUCUGUCACUCUGUAUGUUACUCUGUAUGUUACUCUGUCUGUUACUCUGUCUAUUACUCUGUUAUUCUGUCUGUUGAUCUGUCGGUUACUCUGUUACUCUGUCUGUUACUCUGUCUGUUACUCUGUUACUCUGUUACUAUGUAUGUUACUCAGUUGGUUACUCUGUUACUCUGUCUGUUACUCUGUCUGUUACUCUGUUACUCUGGUACUCUGGUACUCUGUCUGUUACUCAGUUGGUUACUCUGUCUGUUACUCUGUCUGUCACUCCGGUACUCUGUUACUCUGUCUGUUACUCUGUUACUCUGUCUGUUAUUCUGUUACUUUGUCUGUUACUCUGUUACUUUGUCUGUUACUCUGUUACUCUGUCAGUUACUCUGUCGGUUACUCUGUUACCAUGUCUGUUAUACGGUCUGUUAUAAGGUCUGUUACCCUGUCUGUUAUUCUGUUACUCUGUCUGAUACUCUGUCUGUUACUCCGUUACUCUGUCGGUUACUCUGUUGGUUACUCUGUCUGUUACUCUGUCUGUUACCCUGUCUGUUAUUCUGUCUAUUACCCUGUCUGUUGCACUGGCUGUUACCCUGCCUGUUACUCUGUCUGUUACUCUGUCUGUUGUUCUGUUACUUUAUAUGUUACUCUGUUACUCUGUCUGUUAAUCUGUCUGUUACUCUGAUACUCUGUUGGUUACUCCGUUGGUUACUCUGUCUGUUACUCUGUUACCCUGUCUGUUACCCUGUCUGUUACCCUGUCUGUUACCCUGUCUGUUACACUGUCUGUUACACGGUCUGUUACUCUGUCUGUUACUCUGUCUGUUACUCUGUUACCCUGUCUGUUAUACUGUUUGUUACACUGUCUGUUACACUGUCUGUUACACUGUCUGUUGCCCUGUCUGUUACUCUGUCUGUUACUCCGUCUGUUACUCUAGCACCCUCUUCCCUACAUAGUGCACUAUAAGUAGAGCACUAUAUGGAGUCAUGAGUUCACCAGGGCUCCCUUCAAGAGAGAAAAAUACUUCAGCUGAGUGCAUUCAGCUCCUGACAAACUGACACGUCAUGAUUCCCCUCUAGGUUCUGUGUGUACGACGCGUAUUAAGACGGGAGUGGGAUACCCCCAGCUCAGUGCUGUCAUAGAGUGUGCAGACUCCGCCCACGGCCUGAAGGGUCACAUCAUCUCAGAUGGCGGAUGCAGCUGUCCUGGCGAUGUGGCUAAGGCAUUUGGCGCUGGAGCUGAUUUUGUGAUGCUGGGGGGCAUGCUGGCUGGCCACGACCAGUGUGCCGGGGAGGUCAUUGAGAGGAAUGGCAGAAAGGUCAAGCUGUUCUAUGGGAUGAGCUCUGACACGGCCAUGAAGAAACAUGUAGGGGGAGUGGCAGAGUACAGAGCGUCAGAGGGCAGGACGGUGGAGGUACCGUACAGGGGGGAUGUAGAGGCCACCAUCAGGGACAUUCUGGGUGGUCUGCGCUCCACCUGCACCUACGUAGGAGCUGCCAAACUGAAGGAGCUCAGUCGCAGGACCACCUUUAUCAGAGUCACACAGCAGGCCAGCCACAUGUUCACAUAGUAGUAAAUAGACGGAGGGACGGACAGACAGACAGCCAUGAUCUUUCUUGUGGCUGUUUAGAACUUCACAUCCUAAUGCCUGAUUUCAAUUGUGCUGAUUUAAUUUAAAAUGUAAAAGUUUGAAUCUACAACAAUAUUUAUGUAAAUGCAUGUGUUACUUUCCCUGUACACAGUAGACAGAAAGAGGAGAAACAGAGAAAUACCAACCUGGACUCAGGGGUAGACAUAGUAAACUUAUAUCCGUGACACUCCAAUUAGUAUGAUAUGUAACGUUUGGCAUGGUUUUCAUUUGUGGAUGUCCAUCUUUCAUUUCGUCGGAUAUGUUACGAAUUACAAUAUGUUACGAAUUUGCAAAGGUAUGAUAUGUUAUGAAUUCUAAUUUGUUGAGGCUAAGGUUAUCUAGGUGUCUAGGUGGCUAACGCUAAUGUUAGCUAGGUGGCUAAUGUUAACCAGGUUAGGGGUUAAGGUUAGGAGUUAGGUUAGGGUAUGGGUUAGCUAAUAUGCUAAGUAGUUGCAAAAAAUUGGUAAGUAGUUUCAAAGUUGCUAAUUAGCUAAAAUGAUAAAAUUGUCUGUGAUGUUAUUCAAACUCACAGCCUUUGGGUUGCUUGAUGUUCAUGUUUUACACCUACCCAUCCACCCUGUCCAAACAUCCUACUUUUGUUUUUUGCCUUAAGUAACCUUCUGUCUUAUGUAACCAAAUGUAACAUAUCAUACUAAAUUGAAUCUUUCAGAAUUUGGAUUUACAUUUACUAUGUUACGUGUAGUCUAUGAGACCAGGCUGGAAAAACAGAGUGCUAGAGUAAGCAGCUGCUCUGUUGCUCCUCUUGAAAGAUGGAUGAAAGACAGAUGAGCCAGUUGAUAGACAGAAUUUCAGUUGACUCUGUUAUUUAUUAUUCUGAGUAUACAGAGACAAUACAUUUGUUCAUGUUCUUUUGUGUUUCUUUAAACAAAUUUGUUCAAAUCUAAAUGAAAUGUUAAAAAAAAUUACAACUGAAAUAUUUUGUCCAUAAACCUGGAAAAACUCUCCUAAGAAAGAGACCAUAGAUCAUACAGAACAGAUUGGAGUAUAUCCUACAAAUUAAACCGUAAUACCACAGUUAGAAAAGCAACUUUGAAGUCUUCUAGUCCUCUUGUUUCCUGUCUCCUGUUGUACAUAAAUGUAUCUUACAUAUGAGGUACACAAAAAAGUUAUUUCACAACCUUUCUUGGGGGUUGCGGACCAAUGCAUGAACAUUUUUUAAAUUACAGAUUGUACAAUAAUAACAAUGAUCCUAUUUUGUAUAAUAUCUACAACAAUGUUUAUAUUUUAGCACAUACAUAUCUCAGGAAAAAACAGUCAAUGGGCGGUGUCUGUUUCUCUGCCAGUUCACCUGAUUAUUGGCAAGAUGCAAACAACAGUCUAAUAAUCUCUAUUCAUUCUAUUCUCUGUCUCUCUCUCUCCCUCCUCUCUCUCCCUCCUCUCUCUCUCUCCUCUCAAUGAAUUUGAAAAUAUCCAAUUGCUUUCUUUGAUGAUAAACAGUUUUAUGAUAAUCACACACACACACACACACACACACACACACACACACAAUUCCUGAGUUCUGUAAAAUACUUUAUUUUGGCUAUAAGAAAAUAUAUAUAAUUUUAAACUGAAAGAAAAGAGAGACACCUGUGAGAAUUCAGUCUAAAGUAAGACAGGUACACAUGAGUGGGUAGUGAGGCCAGGUAGUUACAGAAUGUAGAGUAAUGUCCACAUUCAUGUGCACAGGUUCAUCUACUGCUGAACCUAUGGCACUGGUCCAUAAUCACUGAUGAUCUUGACUCUAGCUUUUUCACUUGACAGUACCAUGAUUACUCUGAUUUGCCUGAAUUAAAAGUAUGAAAAUAUACAUUUUAAUGAUUCAUGUCACGUGAAGAUACAAUGUAUUCUCAGGUGACAUAUUGCAAGUUGAGGUUUGAGUUUUACAUGGGAUGUCAUUCAUACAAAUAACUGAUGAAAGUGAAUCAGAGACAUUUUAGAGGGUCAUCGGUCUGUAAUGAUUUAACAUGGAAAAACACCAAUCUAUAAUUCAGGUAUUGCACAUACAACACAUACAACCCAAUUACAACUAAGUUAAUUGGACAGGUUCACUAUAGCUGUAGUUCAAUGUCAGUGGCUCUCCCUCCACCACUUUACAGUGUAAAACAUUGUAAAACAACGUCCAGAAGAACCACUGUAAAACGUUGUAUAACGUCCAGAAGAACCACUGUAAAACGUUGUAUAACGUCCAGAAGAACCACUGUAAAAUGUUGUAUAACGUCCAGAAGAACCACUGUAAAACGUUGUAUAACAUCCAGAAGAACCACUGUAAAACGUUGUAUAACGUCCAGAAGAACCACUGUAAAACGUUGUAUAACGUCCAGAAGAACCACUGUAAAACGUUGUAUAACAUCCAGAAGAACCACUGUAAAACGUUGUAUAACGUCCAGAAGAACCACUGUAAAACGUAGUAUAACGUCCAGAAGAACCACAGAAAGCCCCCGAUAAAAGGUGAAGUAGAACUCACUGCAGGAGAAGCUAUCAUGUAACUUACUACAGUAUGAAGCUAUCAGGUAACUUACUACAGUAUGAAGCUAUCAGGUAUGUAGCUGUCAGGUAGGUUACAACACUAUGAAGCUAUCAGGUAACUUACUACAGUAUGAAGCUAUCAUGUUUGACGCUAUUGGGUAACUUACUACAGUAUGAAGCUAUCAGGUAACUUACUACAGUAUGAAGCUGUCAGGUAACUUACUACAGUAUGAAGCUAUCAGGUAACUUACUACAGUAUGAAGCUAUCAGGUAACUUACAACAGUAUGAAGCUAUCAGAUAACUUACUACAGUAUGAAGCUAUCGGGUAACUUACUACAGUAUGAAGCUAUCGGGUAACUUACAACAGUAUGAAGCUAUCAGGUAACUUACAACAGUAUGAGGGCUAUCAGGUAACUUACUGCAGUAUGAAGCUAUCAGGUAUGAAGAUAUCAGGUAACUUACUACAGUAUGAAGCUAUCAGGUAACUUACUACAGUAUGAAGCUAGCAUGUAACUUACAACAGUAUAUCUAAAACAAGAAGGGAAUGAAGACAUUAAAUCACAAAGAAUGCGUCCCAAACGGCACCCUCUUAGCUUUAUAGUGCACUACAACUGACCAGAGCCCAAAGUUAGGGCACUAUAUAGGAAAUGGGUGCCAUUUGGGACACAACCUGGCUAUCAAAGAUACUACUAACCCUGUCCUGUAGACAUUGGUUGAUGUUCAAAUCAAUAUGAUUACUCUUUAAAUUCACUUUGUGGAAUAUGGCCAAUAACAAAAUUAUACGCACCCAUAUUUCUGUAAACCGAAAUGAUUGAAACAUACAAUGCCUUCGGAAAGUGUUCAGACCCCUUGACUUUUUCCACAUUUUGUUACGUUACAGCCUUAUUCUAAAAUGUAUUCAAUAGUUUUUUCCCCCUCAUCAAUCUACACACAACACGCC